rnacentral:snoRNA from 1 species
AAGACUAUACUUUCAGGGAUUAUUUCUGUAUUUGGUUACUAGAAGAGUUUCUCUGAAUGUGUAGAGCACUGAAAACCAUGAGGAAGAGGCAUAGUGUUCUCUUCUGAGUGUGAAGCCCACUCUUGGUGUUGCUUUACCCCAACUACCAUUUUCCAUUGAUGAUCAUUAUUCUCUUCCUUUGGUAGAGUAAGAGGGAGAAAAUGUAAUCUGAGUGGA